AUUGUAAGGAGAGUUUAUAGGCUUUAAAAGGCCAUGCUGUAGCAGGCGAGUGAUAACAGGCUUUAAUCUUUUUAAAGCAUGCUGCGGGAUGGGAUAUUGGCAUUGAGUGGGGUAAGGGUGAUUAGGUUUUAGGUAAGGGGUGCAUGAUCGGUCGCCAAGGAGGGAGUAGAGGUAUCUUAUACUUGUGGGUCAAGGUGGGGGGAUACAGGAGGAGGAUGCAAAGGAGGCUUUGGAUUGGGAAGAAGGGCAGCAAUGAGAUAUAGAUGUGGUCCAGGAAUAGUCAGGGAAGCAGAUAAUUUAGUUAAAGUGUCUCAGCCUAAUAAGGGAACUGGGCAGGUGGGGAUACUAAAAAGGAGUGCUUAAAAGAGUAUUGCCUAAGUUGGCACCAGAGUUGGGGAGUUUUAAGAGGUUUAGAAGCCUGGCCGUCAAUACCUAUAACAGUUAUGGAGGCAAGGGAAACAGGCCCUUGAAAAGAAGGUAAUAUGGAGUGGGUAGCCUCCGUAUUGAUUAAGAAGGGGAUGCACUUACCCUCCACUGUGAGAGUUACUCGAAGCUCGGCAUCUGUGAUUGUCUACAGGGCUUCCGAGGUGACUGGGCAGCGUCAGUCUUCAGCCGCUAAGCCGAGAAGGAGUCAGUCAGAGAGCCUUGGGCCAGAGUUCCAGGGGCUCUGGGAGUGUCUGCCAGACUCUUCAGAGGUUCCUGCUGGGCCUCCCACUGCUCCAGUGCUUUUGAUGAAGCUAGACUAUUCCCUGCAGCAGUUCCUUUUCCCAUGUUUUGGCCUCUGAGGAUCAACAGUACAGCUCUAUCUUCUUUUUGAUGAGAUCUUUAGUCUCUCUUGAUAGAAAUAACAGAAGCUUUCUGAAAUGAAAACAGAAAUGUUACAACUUGCACCACAGUACUGGACUGAAACGAAGAUGUAACACAGCCAUAAUAAUUUAAAUUAAUAGCAAAUAAAUAAAGAAAAAAAGAACUUCAUUGUGAGGACCAUAGUCAUGGGAUAGCUCUGUCUUUUCGGGGAAAGUGGAGUAGAGGGACAGAGUCACCCCAGGAGAAAAAAUGCUUAAAUUAAGACUCCCUGAGAGACUGAAUAAGAGUAUGAUUAGUUCAGCCUUGCUUUCAUCCUCCACUUCCCCCUCCCACUGUAGACUUCAGUUUUAAUAAUGAUUAAAGAAUAAUGCCUGAAUCCCAUCUGAAUGGCUUUUGAGAUUUAACUCACUGAAUCUAUUCAUAGCUUUGAGCUUGUAAGGGGGACUGAACAGAUCUGCACAACUAAUCGUGGAAUAUUACACUGAUACUUCAUCUCCCACAUCAAUACCAAUUACGCCUGCACAGAGAGCAUCACAUAUUAUUUUAAUAGGAUAGGAAUUUUUAAUCCAGUCAGGUAGUUCUGGAUGAAUGUGUUUGUAUGUCUGUCAUUAAAAUUUGGUGGCUCAUGCUGCUCAAGACAGACACAUUUUGAAUGUUUAAAAUUUCCACAGAUGUUAUUUAUCCAUCAGGAUGGAAAAUUUCCUGCUCUCCAGUGUAUAGAUUCUGCCUCAUUAACAUAAAUAAAGAAUAAGGCAUAACAACAACAAUCUUGCUUAAUGUGUACACACAGAAAUAUUGUCAUAGGCAUCUGGCAAUCAGUUGGAGACGGUGAAAACUGCUAAAUGAAUGAAAGUGGCAGAACUAGCAGAAGUAUGAGAUCCCAUACUGGAGAAAAAGGCUCACUGUUAAAAUAUUUUGUUUCUUUGUUCUACUCCUUUUUUAUUUUCAAGGCAUUUUAUUCAGCUUGGACCUUCAGAUAAAAG
rnacentral:lncRNA from 10 species